AACCUGGUACUAAUCCGGUACUGAAAUACUCCUUUCCAAUUGACAAACCGAAAUGAGCACCAAAACGGUAUUCAUAACAUUGCUCUCCUCUCACUCUUAACUCCCUUUGAACUCUCUAACCCUUCUCUGAACUCUCACCUCUCUGUCUCACUGCCGACGGCCUCAACGUCAUCGGCCCACCGCUAACCCACUCCAUUGAAGUCCUAAGCCGACCCAAGCCCCAAGCGACUGAUCCACGCCUCCGCCUUGUCCUCCAUCUCACCGCUCACCCAACGCCGACAAGCCUGGGUUUCUCUGGAUUUCGUGAGUUUCAUCGUCGAUCCAAGCUCUGGGUUUCUCUGGGUUUCAUUGUCGAAGCUGCUGUUGCCUUCCUCAGCCCAUUGCUUUGGUUUUCUACGAUCUCAGUCAAAACUCAUUCUGCAGUGCAGAAUGCUAGAAUCAAAAC